CACACGCACACCCAGCUGUCACGCACGCACCCACUACCCUUGGCUGGCCAACUGGCAGUCACGCGGUGGUGCCUGCACUACCGUGGUGACAUGCCAGCCUCCUCCUUCCACCGAUGUAGGGCGGAUCGCGCCUCUCCUCCUCCGGACAUUCGGCUCACCGCCCCUCUCCUCCUCCCGAUGACGCGCGCUGCCCUCCUCCUCCCCCCACGCCGGCGGCCUCCCUCCACGCGCGCUGCCCUUCACCCCCCACGCCGUGGACCUCCUUCCACCGCUCCGGCGGCCUCGCCGUCCCAGUGCUGUUUGUGGGACAGGAACAGUGUGUGUUGAUGCCGAGCAUAACACAGAGGCAGGUGCUUGUCGAAAUGCGGAUGAGGACCAAAUAUUUUUCUAUUUGGUAUAACGAGAAGAGAAGGAAUUACCUUUUUUGAGAGCUACAGGUCAUAAUGCUUGAAUUGUUAUAUGAUUGCAUCAGUUCAGACCCGAAGAUACAAUAAUUUAAGAGUUCAACUUUCAAAAUUCUGUAAGUUUAUAUAUAUCACCUAGAUAAGUUCAACGAAAAACUCUUCAUGUUUAGUGCAUGUGCUGUUACAAAUCUGAAUACAUACUCGAAGCAGAAAGUGUAACAUAGGGGAAGGAAUGAAGUGAGCCUUGGUCUCAAUUGAUUUGAGACAUGCAUUUUUUUUAGUAUCAGCACCGUGGCUACCCAUUCAAGUAAUCACAGUCCUACAACAGCUAUGGUCUUAGUCAAAUGUUUCAGAAACGUGCAGUACUACUUGUAGCCUUCACACUUUGUCAGGGGGAGGUGACUAAAGCUCCAGUUUGCAAUUUCACUAGACUAUCUGGAUUUCAUUUAGUGUUUAAAAUUAAAUACUUUCUUGUCCAAUCAUGCUAGUACUGAUGAAUAUCGAGUUGAUUGAAAAUUUUAGUUGAUUCCUGAUCGACCAACCAUCCUGGAACGUGUAUGAGGUUGCCCUCAUGGCCACGGGGGACAUUUCACUUGACUUUGCCUGCAUCCAAGGUUCCAGCCUUUAUGUGUGGUCAAAGGAAGGUGGAUACUGAAGAACCUGCAGGAAGGUGUGGGUUCUCAUGUUCGUUAGCACAGAUGUUGGCAUAUUUAUGAUCAAGCUCAAUCCUUGACAGCUUAAGAAGGUUUACGAGCCUGGGUUCUACUUGAGCGUCCUACCCUACAUAAGCCUGUACGCUCCAGGUACGAUACUGACCCUUGCUUGUCUGUUCUCAUGCAUUUUUCUUUACAACUUCUGAAUGUUGUCAAUGCAAUUUUGUGUAUGCUAGUGAAAACUGAAUAAGUAUUAAGUGACAUGGAAAAACAGAAUGUAACUUUGUUAUCAUAUUGUACUUGUUAAGGGCCAUGACGUGCAUCGGUCAUAUUGCUAAGUGUGCACACGAACAUGAUGAUCUUGUUUUAGCCUGUAACCUUGGGAGUUAUUACUAGCACAUACCUUAACCAAGUGGAAUGCUGAGUUCAACUAUUGGUUAUUAGUUUUGAGCAUCGUAUCUUUUCAGAUCUUGGCACAUUGUUAUUGUUGUGGCCAACUGAUCUCUUGAGUCGUUUAAUUUCCGUUGAACGGUUUCCGUACAAAUUGUGCAAGUCAUUAUAAUCAUGUGUUCAGUGCAAAUUCUAAUUUUAGUUCAAUGCAAUUUCUAAUUUUACUUUAGUUCAAUUCUUAUUUUAGUUCAGAUCAGUUUCUUAUUUUAGCUCAGUUCAGUGCUAGCUAUUUGGUGCUAAUCUGUCUCAAUUCAACUAGUUAAAACGUCUCAUUAUACCUAGAUAUGCUAAUCAGUUUGACUGUUUCAGUUCAACCGGUUAAAUCGUCUAGGUUCAAAUAUAUUUAUUGUGCCAAAAACAAAUAUUAGUUAAUCCUUCUUCCACUUCCUCCACAAGAAAGUGAGCUCUAAAAGUUUUUGUGUUUCCCCUUGCGUAAAAACUCAUGGAACAAAUUCUACAGACCUGGCUAGUGUGAACUUCGAAAUAGAAAGCAUUGUACAUCAGGAAAAGCUGUCGCAACCUCCCCACAGCGCCGCCUCCUUCCAGCGCGCCGGUCCUGCGUCCCCACACGCCUCCUUCCAGCGCGCCGGUCCUGCGUCCCCACACGCCUCCUUCCAGCGCGCCGGUCCUGCGUCCCCACAUGCGCCGCCGCCUCAUUCCAGCGCACCGCCGCCGCCGACCAAAAAAUGGUGGCGCCACGGCGGCCUCACCCCACGGUCUCCUCCAUCGUUGCAUGUGCGCCAUCCUCAGUCCAACCCCAUGGCGUCGGGGUGAUCGUGUUUGUCGCGAGCAGUAGUUCGGACUUGGGCAUGGUUGUGCCUCAGCAGUUCAGAGCUCGGAUGGGCGGCAGCAGCAUCCUCCCAAGAUCGUCACCGGUGGACAAGCCAUUCAAACAGGAGCCAGCAGUUCACCUGCGCGGCCCGAUGUCAGCUGAUUCGAAGAGACCAGGUCUCUUUCUCUCUCUCUCCUCUGCUAAUUCAUCUCCCAUGCCCUUUGUUUACCUCCCUCUCAUUCUACCAGCCGAGAUCAGUGAUAAGCACAUAAGAUGUUUGUGUUUAUGCCUGAAAAAUAGUGUUUUUUCUUAUGAUUUUUACAUGGCUUAUUGCUGAGUAGUUCAACUAUGCCAAAGCUGAUCGUUCGAGUGUCUAUAUAGGCGUAGUUCAAAGCUGAUGGCUCUUGUGUGUGCAGGAGUAGUUUAAGAGGACAGAAGCUGAUGGUUCAUCAUGUAAAAAACAAAAAAAGAGGAGGAACUUGAGCUCUGCUGGUAUUUGUUUUCGCUCGUGGCCUACUCCUGCUUCGUUCAAUCUAAUGUUGCUUCUGUGCAAACAAAUUCUGAACUUGAGCUGCCUGCUGUGGCGUGCGAGUGUGAUGUUCUGAACUGAAUGAACACCUGCAUUCUGUACAAAACAAAGAGGAGGAACUUGCGCUGGUGGUGCAUCCUAUACAAAAUAAGAGGAAUAACUUGA